UCCAUCUGGGAAAAAGUGGCAUGAAGUUGGAAAUGCUCUGAUUUCAUCAAGAUCAAACAAAUCCACACAAAGGAGACAAGACCAGGGACCUGCAACAAAAUGAAGAAGCUGAGCCCUGCCUGGAUUGGGCACAUCAGUGCAAUUGUGAAUUUGUCUUUGCACUAACAUAAAUGAUUUGUGUUA